GUGGGGAAUAUUGCACAAUGGGCGAAAGCCUGAUGCAGCAACGCCGCGUGAGUGAUGAAGGCCUUCGGGUCGUAAAACUCUGUCCUCAAGGAAGAUAAUGACGGUACUUGAGGAGGAAGCCCCGGCUAACUACGUGCCAGCAGCCGCGGUAAUACGUAGGGGGCUAGCGUUAUCCGGAUUUACUGGGCGUAAAGGGUGCGUAGGCGGUCUUUCAAGUCAGGAGUGAAAGGCUACGGCUCAACCGUAGUAAGCUCUUGAAACUGGGAGACUUGAGUGCAGGAGAGGAGAGUGGAAUUCCUAGUGUAGCGGUGAAAUGCGUAGAUAUUAGGAGGAACACCAGUUGCGAAGGCGGCUCUCUGGACUGUAACUGACGCUGAGGCACGAAAGCGUGGGGAGCAAACAGGAUUAGAAACCCCAGUAGUCC
rnacentral:rRNA from 1 species